rnacentral:lncRNA from 7 species
AUGCGCCUUGGGGAGAGUGCAGGCGCUGAGGGGAGCGGUGGAUGCAUUCCCUUCUCUGUGCUUUCGUAGGGCGUUGGUAUCGAGAUGUGCUGCCACCCGCAGUUCCUGCCCUCACCUUCCCUGCCGGCUGUACGUUCCCACCUCACAGCUCUGCCAGUGCAGCUGUUUUCAUGGAAAACCACUGGAAAACGUCUGGAUAACGGCAUAGAGAAUUCUAUUCCAGCUCUGCUCAAUUCUGUGGGAGGCUGCAGUUUGCUAAAUAUAUUAGGAAACACCAGGUGUUUGACUUCUUAUCUGAUGGUUUAACAAAUGAGCAUCCUUCCUUCGCUGAUCCUGUUCUCUCUCCAGAUGGACUGUAGGUAGGAGCCAGUCAUGAUCUAUUUGGAACCCAGAGGCUCAGUUUCCCUGGUGACACAUGGAGUUUGCAAGCUAGCUGCAGAAAUAGCACACUUCUGUGCCCAGGUUUUUCAUAGAUUUGAAAAGCUGGAGAUUUUUGUCGAGAGCCCAGGCUGCUAGGAGAAUUCAAUCCCAGCAGCAGGAAAGUAUGGCCUUUCUGUGUAGUGUUUCACAGACUUCAAAUAAACAAGCCAGAUGGUAAAAGUGCAAUGGUAAAAGUAAUCAUUUUUAGACUCCUGCCAGACCAUUGUUUAAAAAAAAAAAAGAAAAGCUGCCUUUUGAC